GUUCCCGCGAUGUUUGAGAUGCGGAAACGCUUGUGUACGGUGUUCUCGUUUUCGUUCUACAUGUCGCGAGAGCUGCAGGGCCGGAAGCUCCACGUCGGUCAGUUGGGCUCAGAGAGCGACGUCUCAGCUACUGCUGAGUUGGGGGCUGUGGAGCCAUGCCUCUCCGACUUGAUAUUAAGCGAAAACUAACAGCUCGGUCUGACCGAGUAAAGAGUGUGGACUUGCACCCCACCGAGCCAUGGAUGUUAGCUAGCCUGUACAAUGGCAGUGUCUGUGUUUGGAAUCAUGAAACACAGACUCUAGUGAAGACCUUUGAAGUAUGUGAUCUGCCAGUCAGAGCUGCAAAAUUUGUGGCAAGAAAAAACUGGGUUGUGACAGGAGCUGAUGACAUGCAAAUUAGAGUUUUCAAUUACAAUACCUUGGAAAGAGUUCACAUGUUCGAAGCACACUCCGAUUAUAUUCGUUGCAUUGCUGUACAUCCUACUCAGCCUUUCAUUCUAACUAGCAGUGAUGACAUGCUUAUUAAACUCUGGGACUGGGAUAAAAAAUGGUCUUGUUCUCAGGUGUUUGAAGGACACACUCAUUAUGUUAUGCAGAUUGUCAUAAACCCAAAGGAUAAUAACCAGUUUGCCAGUGCCUCUUUGGAUAGGACGAUUAAGGUGUGGCAGCUUGGUUCUUCUUCACCCAACUUCACUUUGGAAGGCCAUGAAAAAGGAGUGAACUGCAUUGAUUAUUAUAGUGGCGGAGACAAGCCUUACCUCAUUUCAGGAGCAGAUGAUCGCCUUGUCAAGAUUUGGGAUUACCAGAAUAAAACCUGUGUGCAAACACUGGAGGGACAUGCUCAAAAUGUAUCCUGUGUCAGCUUCCACCCUGAGCUGCCAAUCAUAAUCACAGGAUCAGAAGAUGGAACUGUCCGCAUUUGGCAUUCGAGCACGUACCGCUUGGAAAGCACUCUCAAUUAUGGCAUGGAGAGGGUGUGGUGCGUGGCCAGUCUGAGAGGAUCCAAUAAUGUGGCUUUGGGUUAUGAUGAGGGCAGCAUUAUUGUUAAGCUUGGCCGUGAAGAACCUGCCAUGUCUAUGGAUUCGAAUGGAAAAAUUAUUUGGGCUAAACAUUCGGAGGUGCAACAGGCUAACUUGAAAGCUAUGGGAGAUGCUGAAAUUAAAGAUGGAGAAAGAUUGCCACUGGCUGUAAAGGAUAUGGGGAGCUGCGAAAUCUAUCCCCAGACCAUUCAGCACAACCCUAAUGGACGGUUUGUAGUAGUAUGUGGGGAUGGUGAAUACAUCAUUUACACAGCUAUGGCUUUGAGGAACAAGAGUUUUGGUUCUGCACAGGAGUUCGUAUGGGCACAUGAUUCUUCAGAGUAUGCAAUCAGGGAGAGCAACAGCGUUGUAAAGAUAUUUAAGAACUUCAAAGAGAAGAAGUCCUUUAAACCUGAUUUUGGUGCAGAGGGUAUCUAUGGAGGUUUCUUACUGGGUGUCAGAUCUGUUAAUGGCUUGGCAUUUUAUGACUGGGAUAACACAGAAUUGAUACGCAGAAUUGAAAUUCAGCCCAAACAUAUUUUCUGGUCUGACUCGGGUGAGCUGGUCUGUAUUGCCACAGAGGAAUCAUUCUUCAUUCUGAAAUAUUUGUCUGAAAAAGUUGCAGCGGCGCAAGAAACUCAUGAGGGAGUCACUGAAGAUGGUAUUGAAGAUGCCUUUGAGGUUCUUGGUGAGAUUCAGGAGAUUGUAAAAACAGGGUUGUGGGUUGGCGACUGUUUUAUUUACACCAGUUCUGUGAACAGACUGAACUACUACGUUGGAGGAGAAAUUGUCACUAUUGCCCAUUUGGAUAGGACAAUGUAUCUAUUAGGGUAUAUCCCCAAGGACAACAGGCUUUAUCUGGGUGAUAAAGAGCUAAACAUCGUCAGUUACUCCUUGUUGGUCUCUGUGCUCGAGUACCAGACAGCAGUAAUGAGGAGAGACUUUGGUAUGGCUGACAAAGUUCUUCCUACAAUUCCAAAGGAACAGAGGACCAGAGUUGCACAUUUUCUUGAAAAACAGGGCUUCAAACAACAAGCUCUUGCAGUAUCCACAGAUCCUGAACAUCGCUUUGAGCUUGCUCUUCAGCUUGGAGAAUUAAAGAUUGCAUACCAGCUUGCGGUGGAAGCAGAGUCAGAACAGAAGUGGAAGCAACUUGCUGAGCUUGCCAUCAGUAAAUGCCAGUUCGGCUUAGCCCAGGAGUGUCUGCACCAUGCACAGGACUAUGGAGGUUUAUUGCUAUUGGCCACUGCUUCAGGAAAUGCUCACAUGGUGAACAAGCUAGCAGAGGGAGCAGAAAAAGAUGGCAAGAACAAUGUAGCUUUUAUGAGCUACUUUUUGCAGGGAAAGGUUGACUGUUGUUUGGAACUCUUGAUUAAAACUGGACGUUUGCCAGAAGCUGCCUUCUUAGCACGUACAUAUUUGCCAAGCCAAGUUUCAAGGGUUGUAAAAAUGUGGCGAGAGAAUCUCUCUAAAGUCAAUCAGAAAGCUGCAGAGUCCCUGGCUGAUCCUACAGAAUAUGAAAACCUGUUCCCUGGAUUAAAAGAAGCUUUUGUUGUUGAAGACUACGUAAAGGAAACUCAUACUGACUUACGGCCAGCUAAGGAAUACCCACUUGUCACUCCAAAUGAAGAAAGAAAUUUACUGGAAGAAGCAAAAGGUUUCAGACCUUCAGAAGUAGUAGUAUCCCAGGAAUCUGAAGAGGAAGAACUAGUUCCAUCUCCUAAACCAGUAGUGGCUCCUCCAGUUCCAGGAAACUCUGAUCCUCUUCCAAUGACAAAAGAUGAGAAGGCACUACUAGACUUGGAUGAUGAUUUGGAUAACUUGGAUCUGGAGGAUAUCGAUACUACAGAUAUCAAUCUGGAUGAAGAGAUCUUGGAUGACUGAACUUGAUUUUUAUUUGUGACCAAAUCCUUUAAUUCAUAAUUGUUACACAGAGGAAUUACAUUUAUAUGGACUACACAGAUUGGAAACUAGCUUGAUUUUUAUACUGAAGCUGGACAACAUAGCUGCUGAACUAGCCGGUGCUUCUUGAUAAGCCUGAAGAGCCAGCUCUAUAUAUCCUACCUUCUUUGAUUCUGUUUUCAUGAACACCUGUUAAAGACAACAGCUAUUAAAAUAGUGACACAUGGUACAGAAGAAUUUAUUGUACAAUUUCUGAUGUAUAGAAUGAGAAUAUUCCUUGUGGCAUCUCAGCAUAACAAUUUUAACAAAGUAAGUGGUAAGUCUGGUGUAGUGAUUUCUUAUACAUACCUGCUAGUUAAAGAGUUCCUUAAAGGCUUUGUGGCUAGCUAUAAAGAAAGUAGGUAUCAAUGUGAACCUCACCUUCCCAUUAUUAUAUCCAAAGCAGAAAAGUGUACUAUACCUUGAUUAAAUCUACUCCAUGA